GCUGGAGUCAGAUUUUCGCAGAAAAUCAAGUUCCGGCAGUUUCGGGAGAACGGCCAUAACUUCCUCCACAAAACUCCGAUUCAGGCGAAACAGGUGGCCACGGAAAGCUCUCUCGAAGGCGAAGAAGUCGUAUUUCUAGGCAAAAUACGAUUUGAGGACGUUUGAGGCUUCAAACGAAGGCUUGAAGCUGACUGGUCUGUUCAGCUGCGAGUUUGACGAAAACUUUAGAAAUUUCAAGAGUUCAUAUAGGGAUGCGUUGGUAGAAAUCAUCAAAGGGAGUUAUCAAUUUCAAGAAUUAGUUUUGCAGUUAUGGAGUUGAGGUGGCCAUGGAAGUUGAGAAUGACUAGAGAUUUAGUUUUCCCAUAGAAUUUAAGUUGAACUUGUUGAGUUUUAGUUUAUCGUUCUUAUUUUAUGUUACUACUUUAGUAUUGGCAAAUUGAUUUUUAAAUUAGUUUAAAUUAUGAAAGUCAAGAAAUUUUAUUUUUAA